rnacentral:rRNA from 1 species
AGAGUUUGAUCCUGGCUCAGGACGAACGCUGGCGGCGUGCUUAACACAUGCAAGUCGAGCGGAAAGGCCCUUCGGGGUACUCGAGCGGCGAACGGGUGAGUAACACGUGAGCAACCUGCCCUUGGCUUUGGGAUAACCCUCGGAAACGGGGGCUAAUACCGAAUAUCCAUCUUUCAUCGCAUGGUGGUUGGUGGAAAGUUUUUCGGCCAGGGAUGGGCUCGCGGCCUAUCAGCUUGUUGGUGGGGUGAUGGCCUACCAAGGCGACGACGGGUAGCCGGCCUGAGAGGGCGACCGGCCACACUGGGACUGAGACACGGCCCAGACUCCUACGGGAGGCAGCAGUGGGGAAUAUUGCACAAUGGGCGAAAGCCUGAUGCAGCGACGCCGCGUGAGGGAUGACGGCCUUCGGGUUGUAAACCUCCUUCAGCAGGGACGAAGCGAAAGUGACGGUACCUGCAGAAGAAGCGCCGGCCAACUACGUGCCAGCAGCCGCGGUA